rnacentral:rRNA from 1 species
GUGCCAGCCGCCGCGGUAAUACGGAGGGUGCGAGCGUUAAUCGGAAUAACUGGGCGUAAAGGGCACGCAGGCGGUGACUUAAGUKAGGUGUGAAAGCCCCGGGCUUAACCUGGGAAUUGCAUUUCAUACUGGGUCGCUAGAGUACUUUAGGGAGGGGUAGAAUUCCACGUGUAGCGGUGAAAUGCGUAGAGAUGUGGAGGAAUACCGAAGGCGAAGGCAGCCCCUUGGGAAUGUACUGACGCUCAUGUGCGAAAGCGUGGGGAGCAAACAGGAUUAGAUACCCUGGUAGUCCACGCUGUAAACGAUGUCGAUUUGGGGGUUGAACUUUGUGUUUGGCGCCCGUAGCUAACGUGAUAAAUCGACCGCCUGGGGAGUACGGCCGCAAGGKUAAAACUCAAAGGAAUUGACGG